rnacentral:piRNA from 2 species
CCCCUGGUCGUCUAGUGGUUAGGAUUCGGC